UAUAAGUGCAGCCAUAGUUUUCCGCGUCCAACUUUAACCGUCCGUCUUAUUUGAAAAAUUUUUAAAAAAAUUUAAAAAUAUAAGUCACGAGUAAAGUACUAUUCAUGUUUUAUCAUCUCAUAACAAUAAAAAUACUAAUUAUAAAAAAAUUUAAAUAAGACGAACGAUUAAAAUUGGGCGCGGAAACUUAUGGUUGCACUUGUA
rnacentral:pre_miRNA from 1 species